GGGGAUUUAGCUCAGCGGCAUAAGCGCCUGCCUUGUAAGCAGGCAAUCGCCAGUUCGAUCCCUGGUCCA
rnacentral:tRNA from 1 species